rnacentral:rRNA from 1 species
CAGAAACUCAAAGGAAUUGACGGGGCCCGCACAAGCGGAGGAGCAUGUGGUUUAAUUCGAUGAUACGCGAGGAACCUUACCUGGGCUCGAACGUAAGAUGACUGUAGGUGAAAGCUUACAUCUCUUCGGAGCAUUUUACGAGGUGCUGCAUGGUUGUCGUCAGCUCGUGCCGUGAGGUGUCGGGUUAAGUCCCAUAACGAGCGCAACCCUACCUUUAGUUGCCAUCAGGUAAUGCUGGGGACUCUAAAGGAACUGCCUACGCAAGUAGUGAGGAAGGCGGGGAUGACGUCAAAUCAGCACGGCCCUUACGUCCAGGGCUACACACGUGCUACAAUGGCCGAUACAGAGGGCAGCUACCUGGUGACAGGAUGCAAAUCUCCAAAGUCGGUCUCAGUUCGGAUCGGAGUCUGCAACCCGACUCCGUGAAGUUGGAUUCGCUAGUAAUCGCGCAUCAGCCAUGGCGCGGUGAAUACGUUCCCGGGCCUU